GACGAACGCUGGCGGCGUGCUUAACACAUGCAAGUCGAACGGAAAGGCCCUGCUUUUGUGGGGUGCUCGAGUGGCGAACGGGUGAGUAACACGUGAGUAACCUGCCCUUGACUUUGGGAUAACUUCAGGAAACUGGGGCUAAUACCGGAUAGGAGCUCCUGCUGCAUGGUGGGGGUUGGAAAGUCUCGGCGUUUGGGGAUGGAUUGGCGGCUUAUCAGCUUGUUGGUGGGGUAGUGGCUUACCAAGGGUAUGACGCGUAGCCGGCCUGAGAGGGUGACCGGCCAAACGGGAACGGAGACACGGUCCAGACUCCUACGGGAGGCAGCAGUGGGGAAUAUGGGACAAUGGGCGCAAGCCUGAGCCAGCCAUACCGCGUGGGUGAAGAAGGCCUUCGGGUUGUAAAGACCGUUUGUUGGGAAAGAAAAGCAGCAGGUUAAUACCCCGCUGUUCUGACGGUACCCAAAGAAUAAGCACCGGCUAACUUCGUG
rnacentral:rRNA from 1 species